rnacentral:tRNA from 1 species
GGGAGUGUGGCUGAGUGGUAGAGUACUUGCCUCAUAUGCACGAGGCCCUGGGUUCAAUUCCCAAUACCACCU